CUUGGCGGCGCCGCUGCGGCCGCAUGUCUUCCUCGUCGCGCCUGCUUCUCCUCAUUGUAAGAGCAUCUCUAGCAAAUUACAAAGUCCAAGGCAAUGAGGCAUGAAGCUUGGGACGAAGCCUGAUACAUUCCACAUCUUCGCACUCAGUGUAUGCAUUUACUGUAUUCUGGGGUUCAUCCUGGGAAAAUUUCUACCUUCUGUGGUGUAGCGAAUUUGGUUCCACAGUAACAGCUAUUAUCAAUGUAGCACACGUCUUAAUUUCACUUUUAUCAUGGAUCUUCUACAGUAAAAAUGGUGUUGUUUGCAUGUAGCUUUAGUUGCUAUUUCUUAUUACUAGAUUGUGCCCUUGAUUCACUUCUGGUUGGA